rnacentral:rRNA from 1 species
UACGUAGGGGGCAAGCGUUGUCCGGAAUCAUUGGGCGUAAAGAGCGCGUAGGCGGUCCGGUAAGUCCGCUCUGAAAGCCCGGGGCUCAACCCCGGGAGGCGGGCGGAUACUGUCGGGCUAGAGUCCGGAAGAGGCGAGUGGAAUUCCUGGUGUAGCGGUGAAAUGCGCAGAUAUCAGGAGGAACACCGAUGGCGAAGGCAGCUCGCUGGGCUGACACUGACGCUCAUGCACGAAAGCGUGGGGAGCAAACAGG